rnacentral:pre_miRNA from 1 species
AGUGAAAUUAUUGGAUGAUGUGGUAAUUCUAAGUUUAACUUUUAAAGGAGCUGCCAAACUGUUUUCCACAUUGGCUGAAACAUUUUAGAUUCCUACCAGAAAU